ensembl:lncRNA
UGGGUGAGAAGGUGCUUAGGGGGCCGUACGAGUCUGUGGGAGCUCUUUGGGAAGCAAGCCCGGGGGCUGGAGGGGCAGUGAUGCGUGCUAUUGGCUAUGCUCUGCCGGUGCUCAGCUGUCUGCUAGCAGCUCCAGGGCCAGUGCUGAGCUUGGGGUAUUCUGUGGGGUACCACAGGCCUGAAAUGCCAGAUUCCAGUCAGUCCCCUGUAGACAGGGCAGUUGAGCGGUGCUGCUGCUAAAUCUAGAUCUCCAGAAACACUGGUUCUGGGCACCUGUGUUCCUUGUCCUGGGUGUCUUUUCCCUUCUCUCUGGCAGUGCUGAGUGCUGCUCUGCUGUGCCUGCCUGCAAUUGUAGACACGAAGCCCAGUGCAGCUCUGCUAUGGAGCUGUUCGGUCCAAUCUCUCCUAGCUGUGCCUGUGGGGCUCCCCAGGGCUGUGGGGAAUAGCAACAGCCUCAAAAGGACCAACUCCUGCUUUGCCCAGAGGUAAUGUUUCCUUCCUUGAUGAACUUGGCUCACCUGAAUAACGUGCAGCAGUAACUGUACUCCAUCCCUGGUCUUCAUUAAUGAGAGAUCUGAAACCAGUUAUUUUGUAAGUGAUGAUUUUAUUAUUAAACUUACUAAAUUGUAAUGCAGGCAUAUCUUGGAGUGGAGAACUAUACAGUAUGUUACAUGUUAUAAAUAUAGUUUUGAAAAUACACGAAUAUAUUUCAUAUAAUGCUGUAAUAAAAAGAGUGCUAGUUCAUCUUUAUUUUAAAAACCGUAACACCUAUAAUGUGAGGAGAGUAGGGGAUGGGGAAAACACCAUUUCAUGACUCUCUUGAAACCCUGCAAGUCCAGUUCUGCACUGAUUCACAUUCCUUAGUGUCUGUACAGGUGGAGAGUGUAAGUUGGGGCAGGAUUUUUAGCCCCUGGGAGUUAUGGAGAUAUACAGACUAUUCACAGAAUAAUCAAGUCAUAAAUAUCUCUAGCUUUGGAUAAAGCUAGCAAGAUAUACAGUGAAUAACCAUGUCUCACAACAGCAGCUAUAAUUAAUGACAACUGAAAUAUUAAACACAGCACCUAGUUCAGGGUACUAACCGUGAGUCAGCACAAAUGGUUUUUUUUUUUUUUUUAGAUGCUAAAUAACAGCAGCUACACUGACCUUCGCCUGCAAAUUAUACUUGCACUGAGUAAACAUGAUCUGUUGUUCUAGUGAGCAACAACUCGUUGCUUUGUGUUGCUGCUAGAACUGGGCUCAGAGAAUCUCAGAAGAGAUCCUGCUCUGCCUUGGAGGGCUCCAGCUGCUGUGGGUGAGCGAAGGGGCUGCACCUGCUGCUGAAGGGCUGCACCUGCUGAAGUUAGCAAGUUACUGUCAUCUUCUGAAAUAUCAGUUCCCAGGGAUGGACCAGAAGGGGUUUUAAAUAGCCUGUGCCUGAUUGACAGUUAUAUUGCAAUUCAGGGGAGUAGCAUGCCCCUAUAACAAGAGGCAAGUUGGUUUGCUUGAAUCUUUACACCAUAGGCAUAAAUUCUUUUGCUGGUAGGAGCUGGUGCACAGAUCACUGCAGCAGCUACAGCACCUUCAGAAGCAGAUGCUGUCAGUUCUGAGCUCUGUGGAAACAUGGCAGUAAGGCACCCACCAAGCAUGGCUAUAGCAUUAAAAACAAACAACAAAAAGCUUAUGAGGACUAAAAGAAUAGUCCUAGGGGGAAAGAUGCAGAAUAUAGAAGGUGUAUGUGAGUAACUCAUCCUUGCAGCCUUGUUCUUCUGGAAGACAGGUAGCACAGCCUGGCGGAGAGCUGGGCUGCAUGGUGACUGAGAUGCUGCCGUGGAUGUACCCUCCCAACUCUCUAACAGCCAAUUCUUGCAGUGCCAUUCAUCAUGUUGACUUCUGCAUUAGGAUGGCACUGAAGUCAAGGAGUGUUUGCAGAAGGUGCAGCUGAUGGUGGGUUUGUGGAUGGCCCUGGGGGAGAGCUUGGCCUUACAGACUCUUGUUCCUGUUGCAUUUGAGCAAAACUGCAUAGCUGGAGAGGUGCUGCUGGCAAGGGAGGAGUGUGCUGGGGGGCAAGCAGCCUGCAGGUCAGCACCCAGCCCUGAGGGAGGUGGCUGCACUCCCAAUGGCCAUCUCUGCACCCGGCAAUAGGUAUGGUGCUCCUCUGGACACUGUGAGGCUGAAGUUCAUUUCAGCUGUAGGAGGUCCCCAGGAAGCAAUGAUAAUUUAAAAGCUUUGGUGGUUCAGGUAGUACUGUUCCUAGCACAGAUAGGAGGAAGAAUUAAUUACCAAGUCUCAUUUAAAAGCCUCUCCUGGUUAUGGCACCAAGAUGCUGGCUGCAAGUUUCUCUGUGGCUUUUGAGUAUGUGGCAGGUUCAGGAGCAAAGCCAUAGGUAGCUGAGCAUGCAUCUUUCCAUGGACCUUUAUCCACCUCCCCAUUCCUUCUUUCCCUUCCAACGUUCAAAUCAGCGUUGCUCUGCCAGCAGCCGGAGGAUGCUGGGUGCACAGAGCUGCACAAAGCACCCCUGGGCUCUUCCAUUUUGUGUCCAUCACUGAUCCCACUUCUCCUUCCUGAAACAAAAACACGUGGUGGAUGUGAGGGACUGGAAAGGGAUGUUCUGUAUUUACCCACUGGGCUGAGUCUGUUUCUCUUUUAGUUCUUAUCACGGGCAGAUUUUUUCCCAAUAUAUGUUUGGUUUGCUAUUUGGGAGUAUUUGACUAACUGCAGAUAACUGGACUUGCUGCUGCAUUUCUUUGUGCAUUGAAAGUAACACAGAAUGCCUGUGUGAUGCAGGCCAUGUGGCUAUAAUUGCCUUAAAUUAACUGUUCAUCUCUUUUGGUUUUGGUAAGAGGAGGGGGCAGAGUGUGUCUAUUAACUCGAAGGUAUACGGGCCAGUCUUCAGCUGGCAUAAAUCCACAUAAUUUGAGCUUCAUGAAUCUGCUGUGUACCUGCUGGAACAUGUCUGGAUGAGGGAACAGAACUGCAUAAUUUCUAUGCUAAGUGGAGAAAAGAAAACCAAUGCAAGAUGUGCAGUUUUACUUACUUUACCUUGUCCCCUUUAACUUGGCUUAUCAGAAAGGCCAUAUGUUUUCAUUCUUUGUAUUUUGCCCCAGAACAAUCAUGGAGUUCCUCUCAGUUCUCUCAGCUUUCCUCAGCUCCGAAGAUGUAUUAUCUGGCCUUAAUAAAAAGAGAAAUACGAUUGAAGUUUACAGCAGUCAGCACACAUGAUGGUGUUUUUAGCACUAAUAUGCUGUGUAUGCGUACCCAUCAUCCAAACAGCACCCAGCACUGCUUCCCCUUGCCAGCCUGGAAUUCCAGGGCAGAUGCUGGCCUAAUACUUGUGGCAGCAUCCAAAAGAGACCCAAAACACUACAAAAUGCAUCACUCAGCGUGAUGUUGCAAAGGGGGAGGGAGAGAUUGGUGGGUCACUGUCACAGGGGUUAAACACUUUUGGCCUCCAGUAGGAAGCGAGGAAUGGGAAAGAACAGGACUAAGCUUGCUGCUUAGGCUGCCUCCAGCAUUGUUGUUGUCUUUCCUUAUUUAUUGCUUCCCACUGCAGUAAGUGCAGUGCAUCCUGUUUGGUUGUAAUGGCUCACGUCUCCAGGACUUGGGGAGGAGAAAUGUUUUGGAACGCUUUGUAAGAACAGUUGCUGUUUGAGAAGGAGAAGCUGUGCAUUGUGUGUUGUGGGUUUUUUUUUAAUGCAACAUUUCAAAGCAAUUCAAAUGUAUAACAAAUGGCUCAUUGCUAUCUUUGAUUUGAAAAACUUCGCAUCAAAGCACGACUGAUGUGAUGCUGACUUCUAUUUUCUAGGUACUGAUUUUUUUUUUCUUUCUAAAUGUUGUAGGAUUUCUGUUUCAUUAAUUCUUAAGUCUUUUGCAGUGAAAUGGCUCAAUUUAUGCCUUGAUGCUUUAGUUCUUUGGCUGCCUCUGCUCCCCUGGGAGUAACUUUCCCUGUGAAGAGUGCUGCUCAGGACUGGGCCUACAAGCUUUGGGAGAUGGGAUUUCAGCCUUUGUAUGAGGCUGCUCUGCUCAGGGGUUUUGGCAUAUUGGUGUUGUAGUGUACUUCCUAGCUUACUUCACCCUAACCGCCAAGUAGCUGUCAUACAGAUGUAAGCUUUCGGUGGCCGUCAGAUCGAAACUAACGUCCUUGCCCAUGAAAGAUAUCAUAACUUGAGGUUAGCUCAAGCCCACGCAGGUACCUUAGAGCUGCAACUCCUGUAGAUAAAUGGGUGGAUGUGUCUGAACAGGAGUGCCAGGCUGGGACUAUCUGAAGUUUCCCACAUUAGAGCCUGCCCUAGGAAGGGACUGCAGAUAGCAUCAGUAAAGCUCCUGAGCUCAGUAGCUUUCAUGAAGAUGGCUGGGACUGCUUCUCAGCUGCAGUCAGGGCAAGCAGUGGGGGACUAAAAGUCUCCCGCAUACAAAAACGGUGCUGGGGAAAAUAAGGGAAAAAUAUCUCAGAGGCACUUAAGGGCUCCUGCUUGUUCCUGGGUUUCUGGGAGCUGGUAGUAAUGCCAAUCUAGCCGGAGGCAAUUCUACGUGUACUUUAUAAUUUCAGAUGGAGUGGCAGUAAAUUUUUCAAGGUGGGCUCCUGCUGAACUUACAGCCCAGCUGGAUUCUCCCCAGUCGUGUCAGUCUGCAAUUAUUUAUGCAGGGCAAAUAUUUGACCUUCUGAUGCCAGACUGUCACUUGAGAACAGUCUUUUGUCACUGAAACCAGUCACAGUGCAAAGACAGAGAGUUCUUUUCUUAGGGGUCAUUUGAGCUGCAAGUAAGUUCAUCGCUCUUUGCAGAGGGUACAUUCUGCAAGGAUCGGAGAGAGAAAUCUACUUUUCUGCUAUGUGUCAGGCUCAGGUCCGUGUGCUGUUACAUUCAUAACUCCAUGACCAGGUUAUCCAUCAGCCUCUUCUGGCCCUCUGAGCAAAACAGACUUUGCAGGAGUGAAAGUGCUACUAGGAAAUGGAAGACGCAAUGAAAACCUGUGCCUGGUUGGAACAACAUAUGACAAACCACUGAGUCUUGUGCCAGUGUUUUUACCUUGGCAGGCUCAGCAUCUCCUGCUGGAAGAACCAAGUUCUCUCAGUACUAUGAGAAUUCUUUUGUGGACUUUUUAAAUGAGGGGGAAAAAAAAAACAGACAAAAGAAAAACAAAGCCACCGCCCUGAAGCAGAUCAUUCAUCAUAAACAGUGGGAGCAUGAAAGGCAAUUUGCUUUGACCUAGUUACAAAAACAAAAACAAACAGACUUUCUCUAAUUGCCUGAAUGACUCAAGUGGGCCUGGGUGUCAAAAGCAACAAAUCUGUGCCUUCUUCAGAGCUAUAUGUUAACGUGGGACACCGGGCUCCAGCUUGCUCCAGUUCAAGACCUUGGGAGAUGUCUUUGUGCCCAAGGAAGCCUGGGUAAGCAAAAGCCAGCCAAUUCUGUGUGCCUGUAUGCACAAACAGGAUCAGGUGCCAGGACAAACAUGUUUCAUAAACUGUAACAAAGACAGUGGCUUUAAAUGCCAGUGUUUACGUUGCCAAGAGCUGCAGGCAAGUGAGAUUUUUUGCUUGUCAUUAUGGUACUGCUGCAGGCAGGGCCUGGCUUUCUGUCCAGCAGCGUUUGCAGAGCUGCCGCUGACUUACUGAGGCUCAGAGUUUUAUUUUAAAUGAGCCUGAGAGUAGCUAGGUACCUAAAAUGCCCUAAGAGCAAUGUGCCCAGCUUUCUAAGCACCAGCAAAAAGCCCAACAUCAAUGCAUUGCUAUUGCAGGAUGUGUGCUAGAGAGGGUGAGAGCCAUUACAGAUAGGACAGGUGAACAGAGCUGGAAAGCAAGCAAAGAGUGAGUGGAGAGACUUCAGGGACAUGGGUAUGGGCGAGGGGUCUAUGCCCGUAUAUUAGAGAAAGCCAUUUAUUUACCAGCUACGGGAAGCAGCCUGGGAAAAUCAGCAUGCCACAUCUCUGGGGCUGCCCAGUUUCAGUCAGGUAAAAGUCAUCCCUUUGGUAUCUCAUUCUGCGGCCUUUCUAUGUGUUUUAGUUGUCCUAUGUACAUGCAAGAGUAGCUCUGUUAGGAGCUGUUGGGAUGGCCUUUCAGUGGAAGAAAAUGAAUUUACUUAGCCUGUGAUUCUCACCCAGGGAGUGCUGGCAGCAUCCUCAGUGCUGCAGAGAAAAGGCUGUGGGGGGUGGCAAAGACAGCACUUUUCUGAAGCCCACAUGGAGUCUCUUUUUUUUUUUUUCAGUUUUAGAGGGCAAGUUCACAAGAGUUUAUAUGUUUUCCCCAGCUGGUUCACUAUCUAUUUUAGAUGGAACUGUUUGAUCUCUUUCUGCUUGUGGUCCUUUCAGUGUCACAAACAAUAGGAGGAAGCUUGCCUGUUACUGUGUGUUUGGGCCCCAGCUAAGCUUUUCCCAGCUGGAAAAAUCAGUCCGUGAACUACAGAGAGUUUUCUCCAGCUGUAAUUACAAGAUUUCCAGUUCCCUUAUGCAUCUUGUAAGGUAACAUUGUCCAUCUGGGAUCUUAGAGCACCUGGGUAAAGGACUGUGCUGGCCAGGAUGCUCUUAUACAAGAAAGAAGGAUUAAUGUGUGCUGCUGCUGUUCUGAAGGCCUCAGCAGCUCUGCACUGUGGGAAGGCAGUCCCUGGCCGUGCCGGAGGUGUCCCAGAAGGGCCAGCACUGUUAAUGCCACAAAGGCUGAGCAGUUGCCUGUUCCUGAAAGCUAGCUAGCCAUUGCCUAUUGUGGGAGUGGGAGAACAAUGGAACAAAUGCAACUGCCAGUUUGCAUACCUAUUGCAUCUGGAAUGGUGUGGCAGGAUUCCUAUACAGCUCCUGCAGCUGUAGAAGGUAGAGGAGCAUUACAUGUCCAGAGUACCAAAUACAGGAGUGACUAUACCAAGGUGUGGUGUAGUGAGCCUGUGCUAGGAUUCAGCUUAAGAAGUGUGGAUCUCAGUUCCGCUGUGCUGUAAAUUCUUUCAGGAUGACGAGUUGCCCAUUUGGAAACGUGUGCUUGCAGCUCAGUCUCUUUGGAGCUGAGACUCAAGGCACAGCAGCUGCCUGGGGACCAGGAGCUAGGAGGUGGUGUGAUUUCUGCUGAAAAGAAUUGCCUGUGUGCCGUCCGUGAGCAGACGUCUGCAGUGUUUGUGUGUCAGCAAAAGAGCACAGGCCAUGAGCAGGCUGUACCGCUGCUCUCUUCCAGUCUGAGACCUGCAGCCUUUCCCCAUGCCCAGCCUGCAGCCUCUGUCCCAGGGCUUCCCCUCGUGCAGGCAGGGCGCUGCCGGACGCGCUGCUCACAAGUGCACACAGCGGCUCGCUUCCACCAUGGCGCUGCCUGCUGCUGUGCGUCUGAUAUCAGUAAGCCAAAUAAGCCUCGAUCUUUACAAAAGCGGCGCUCUAAGUUUACCUUACUUCAAGAAAAAAAAAGCUCCCUCUACAAAAGCAGGAAGCCUCCUCUGUCUCCUUUCCCACAACAAUCUACGUUUUUGGGGAAAUGCCAGCCUUAGGACUCUUCCUGUCUUUUCAUUAUGUCAGAAAGCUCAUGGUGCGUUCAAAAAUAAUCAGCAUUAGGAUUUACUUCUUUUUAAACAAAUGAUGAUACAAUGUUGCUUAUAAAUAGGUGUUAUUAUGUCCAGAUGUUUUUGUGUCUGAAGCUGGGACGGAGGUCAUAUUCAAUGGUAUGAAAACCCGCGGUGACUCCAAGCCCAUCGGCCAUUUGCCUUCAUGAGUUCUGUGUCCCUCUCAGCAGCGCCUGGAGGAGCAGUGGCAGGAAAGAGGUCACCCAGCCCAAAAGAAAAGAGGGAAAAGAGGUAGAGCACUUGCUCCAGGCCGUGGGGAAAGGGGGUUCACCCCUGUGGAGGAACUAAACCACACUGGACAUGAUAUGCUGGAGGAUCCCAUUCCACAGCCAUCCCUCAGAGAGUGCUCAGGCCAGGUGCUUUGGGCUACUGAAUAGCGAAUUAAUUUGUUUUGUUGCUGUGAUUCCAGCAGGUGCAAAUGAUUGAGAAGGCAACCAACCAGGCAGAGCAUGCAGUGCUUGCUCACCCCUGCAGGGCCAGUUAUCUCAGUAGGUAGCAGACAAGAGUAAGAGCUUUGAAGGGAGCGCUGCACCUUUCGUGCCCUGCCACAAAGCCAAUCUGUGGUAGGAUUGUUCAGAUAUGGUGGGCAUUCAGUACAGAAAGUUUGUGUAACUUGGCGGGUUGCCCCCAGAAAUGUUUGCUCAGAGAGGGCCUCUCCAGGGACCCUUCCAGGACAUUUUUUUCCAUGGACUGGAAACAUCUACACAUCCCUCACUAUCUUCUGGCUGUGCUGUGUGCAGUACUGAACCUGCUCUGUCACGUAUUGGUAUAAAUAUUUCCCUCUCAGCACCUAUCAGAGUUUUAUGCUUGAAUUUGUGGGGGAGCAACCACAGGAAAACUGCAAACAUUUUCCAGGAGGAGUCCCUUUCUGUCUGUCCUCCCAGAUGAAGCUUCCCAAAACAUUCAUCUCACGGGGCUGAAAUGUUUCCC